rnacentral:tRNA from 1 species
GGGCCGUUAGCUCAGCCAGGCAGAGCGGCGGGCUCCAGACCCGUAGGCCAGGGGUUCAAAUCCCCUACGGCCCACCA